rnacentral:rRNA from 1 species
AUUGAACGCUGGCGGCAGGCCUAACACAUGCAAGUCGAACGAGUGGCGGACGGGUGAGUAAUGUCUGGGAAACUGCCCGAUGGAGGGGGAUAACUACUGGAAACGGUAGCUAAUACCGCAUACCAUCGGAUGUGCCCAGAUGGGAUUGGCUAGUAGGUGGGGUAAUGGCUCACCUAGGCGCCGAUCCCUAGCUGGUCUGAGAGGAUGACCAGCCACAUGGGAACUGAGAAACGGUCACGACUCCUCGGGGAGGCAGCAGUGGGGAAUAUUGCACAAUGGGCGCAAGCCUGAUGCAGCCAUGCCGCGUGUAUGAAGAAGGCCUUCGGGUUGUAAAGUACUUUCAGCGAGGAGGCGUUACUCACAGAAGAAGCACCGGCUAACUCCGUGCCAGCAGCCGCGGUAAUAC